UUCUUGGUCAUUUAGAGGAAGUAAAAGUCGUAACAAGGUUUCCGUAGGUGAACCUGCGGAAGGAUCGUUAAAGAAAUUUAAUAAUUUUGAAAAUGGAUUUUUUUGUUUUGGCAAGAGCAUGAGAGCUUUUACUGGGCAAGAAGACAAGAGAUGGAGAGUCCAGCCGGGCCUGCGCUUAAGUGCGCGGUCUUGCUAGGCUUGUAAGUUUCUUUCUUGCUAUUCCAAACGGUGAGAGAUUUCUGUGCUUUUGUUAUAGGACAAUUAAAACCGUUUCAAUACAACACACUGUGGAGUUUUCAUAUCUUUGCAACUUUUUCUUUGGGCAUUCGAGCAAUCGGGGCCCAGAGGUAACAAACACAAACAAUUUUAUCUAUUCAUUAAAUUUUUGUCAAAAACAAGAAUUUUCGUAACUGGAAAUUUUAAAAUAUUAAAAACUUUCAACAACGGAUCUCUUGGUUCUCGCAUCGAUGAAGAACGCAGCGAAAUGCGAUACGUAAUGUGAAUUGCAGAAUUCCGUGAAUCAUCGAAUCUUUGAACGCACAUUGCGCCCCUUGGUAUUCCAGGGGGCAUGCCUGUUUGAGCGUCAUUUCCUUCUCAAACAUUCUGUUUGGUAGUGAGUGAUACUCUUUGGAGUUAACUUGAAAUUGCUGGCCUUUUCAUUGGAUGUUUUUUUUCCAAAGAGAGGUUUCUCUGCGUGCUUGAGGUAUAAUGCAAGUACGGUCGUUUUAGGUUUUACCAACUGCGGCUAAUCUUUUUUUAUACUGAGCGUAUUGGAACGUUAUCGAUAAGAAGAGAGCGUCUAGGCGAACAAUGUUCUCAAAGUUUGACCUCAAAUCAGGUAGGAGUACCCGCUGAACUUAAGCAUAUCAAUAAGCGGAGGAA
rnacentral:rRNA from 1 species